rnacentral:rRNA from 1 species
AUUGAACGCUGGCGGCAGGCCUAAUACAUGCAAGUCGAACGGUAACAUGAAAAAGCUUGCUUUUUUGAUGACGAGUGGCGGACGGGUGAGUAAGGUUUGGGAAACUGCCUGAUAGAGGGGGACAACAGUUGGAAACGACUGCUAAUACCGCAUACAGCCGAGAGGUGAAAGGAGCAAUCCGCUAUCAGAUGUGCCCAAAUGGGAUUAGCUAGUAGGUGAGGUAAAGGCUCACCUAGGCGACGAUCUCUAGCUGGUCUGAGAGGAUGAUCAGCCACAUUGGGACUGAGACACGGCCCAGACUCCUACGGGAGCAGCAGUAGGGAAUAUUGCACAAUGGAGGAAACUCUGAUGCAGCCAUGCCGCGUGUGUGAAGAAGGCCUCGGUUGUAAAGCACUUUCAGAGGGAGGAGAA